UGCGCAUUGAGUAUAAUUUUAUGACGUCCCAUAUAAAUAUCGGCAAUGACAAAUCUCUCGAUAAAUCUGACGAAUUUGACGAGAUUGUUGAUAGUUUUACCACAUCGUAUGCUUACGGACACUGUACAAUUUCUGUUAGAAUAUUCUGCGGGAAAUAGAAUAGUAAAUCCAAUGCAAACAAGUUGAAUAUCAAUGAAAUAUCCAUGCAAGUAUAAAUUUAUGCAUAAAGUAAAAUUUAGGAAGGGACAGGUAAACAACGGGGAACGAAGUAACGUAGACAAUGUUGUCGAUAUCCCGUGAUAUAAGAAUAUUGUUCCGAUGCGUUGGAUAACCUUUCUAUCCGCCUUCUAAU
rnacentral:lncRNA from 1 species